rnacentral:rRNA from 1 species
GAUGAACGCUGGCGGCGUGCUUAACACAUGCAAGUCGAACGAUGAAAGCGGGAGCUUGCUCCUGCUGGAUUAGUGGCGAACGGGUGAGUAACACGUGAGUAACCUGCCCUUGACUCUGGGAUAAGCGUUGGAAACGACGUCUAAUACCGGAUACGACCUUCGGAGGCAUCUCCUGGGGGUGGAAAGAAUUUCGGUCAAGGAUGGACUCGCGGCCUAUCAGCUAGUUGGUGAGGUAAUGGCUCACCAAGGCGACGACGGGUAGCCGGCCUGUGCGGGGGCCCGGCCAUAGUGGGACUGAUACACGGCCCAGACUCCUACGGGAGGCAGCAGUGGUGAAUAUUGCACAAUGGGCGAACGCCUGAUGCGGCAACGCCGCGUGAGGGACGACGGCCUUCGGGUUGUAAACCUCUGUUAGUAGGGAAGAAGCGAAAGUGACGGUACCUGCAGAAAAAGCACCGGCUAACUACGUGCCAGCCGCCGCCGUAAUAC